CCUAUGUCAUCCCUGGAUUAGAAGUUCUACUGAUGUUAAAGUGCCUUCAGAUAUUCUAAUAUUCAAAGUCAUGAAGGCUUAUAUGCGUUCGUCAUCUCUUCGGAAAGCUGCAUUAAGGGCUCUAUCUAAAACAUUGACAAUUGAUGAGCUAUUUUAUUUGAAGGAGCAGUUUACACUGUUAGAACCAAACAAAAAUGGCACUAUCGGUUUUGAAAAUAUUAAAGCGGUCCUGAUGAAAAAUGCAACUGAUGCUAUGAGGGAGUCACGCGUCCCUGAUUUUCUAGCCUCUCUUAAUGCACUUCAAUACAGAAGGAUGGAUUUUGAGGAAUUUUGUGCAGCUGCAUUAAGUGUCCAUCAAUUAGAGGCUCUUGAUAGAUGGGAACAACAUGCUCGUUGUGCCUAUGAACUUUUUGAAGAGGAGGGAAACAGGGCCAUUAUGAUUGAUGAACUGGCAUCGGAACUCGGCCUUAGCCCUUCUGUCCCUGUACAUGCUGUUCUCCAUGAUUGGAUCAGGCACACUGACGGAAAAUUGAGCUUCCUUGGAUUUGUCAAAUUGUUGCAUGGUGUGUCUAGCAGAAAUCUUGCAAAAGCUCAAUAGAAGUUUCUUAACUAUGCAGAAGCUCCAAAAGACUUGGUGUAUGUCCAUAAGCUGUGUAUUGGUCAAUAAAAAACCAGAGUGAUAGGCACUUUGCAGACGAUUCUUAGGCCUGAAUAUGAAAAGGUAAAAUUUACUGCCACCGUAACCAUGGUCCAGGAAAUUGAGUUUGGACAGGUUUCCUCCGUGGCACAACCUUGUAUACGCCAAGCAUAAAAUUGUGGGACUCGUGCUUGUGCUACGUUGGCGAUGAAAGCUUUAGGCAUUUAUGAUUUUCAAUGUAAAGCUGUGUAGUUACUUGUGUUUAGAUGCAGGUGAGAUAAAUUUCUCAGAACUGGUUGGCGGACACUUGAUGUUCUUACAUAAUGGACUGGGCUGAUGGGUUCGUGAUUGAAUUGUUUCAUUUUCUAGUCAAAUUCCAAUUGCUCUACUUUGCCGCUGUG
rnacentral:misc_RNA from 1 species